UUUUGUAUAUUUGAAAUCAGGGAGUGUGAUGCUUCCAGCUUUGUUUUUCUUUCCCAAGAUUGUUUUGGCUGGUAUCCAUGGCUUCUGAUGAGAAUCAGUUGUUAAUCUUAUUGAGGACCCCUCAUAUGUGAUGAAUUGCUCCUCUUGCUGCUUUCAGGAUUCUCUCUAGCUUUCGACAGUUUGGUUAUGAUGUGUCCAGGUGUGGUUCUCUUUGAAUUUAUUGUACUUGGAGUUUUUUGAGCUUAUUGGGUAUGUGUAUUGUUUUUUGUCAAAUUUGGGAAGUUUUCAGCCAUUAUUUCUUCACAUAUUUUUUCUGCCCCUGUCCCUUUCUUGCUUUUCUUCUGGGACUGCCAUUAUACGUGUGGUCAGGCUCUGUUCAUUUUCCUUCGUUCUUUUUUCUUUCUACUCCUCAGACUGGGUAAUCUCAAUUCUUCUCUCUUUAAGUUUGCUAUUUCUUUCUUCUGCCUGUACAAAUCUAUUGUGAUUCUUUUCAUUCCAGUUAUUGUACUUUUCAACUCCAGAAUGUCUUUUUGGCCCUUUUUAAGUAAUUUCUGUCUUUUUUGGGCUGCUUUUCACCUCUGUAUGGGCGACACUUCUUUCUUUUCACGUCUUAGAAUUUCUUGUUGGAAAGCGAACAUUUUAAGUAAUAUAACGCAGCAACUUGGAGAUCAGAUUCUGCCCUCCUCAGGGUUUGCUGCUGCUGCUGCUGUUUAGUGACUUUUUAGAACUGAUUCUGUUAAGUCUGUGUUCUUUUUGGUGGUGGUCACUGAAGUCUCUGCUGGGUUUGCUUAGUGGUCAGCUAAUGACUGAAUGGAGAUUUCCUUACGUGCCUGGAACUAAGAAGUCUCCCAGUCUUUGCUGGGGGCUCGGUGUACCUGUUGGUGCCUGCCUCCAACACUCACCACGUGGUGUUCAGCUCUUCCUUAGCCUCACCUCCUGCUGUGCGGAGCCUCAAGGUCAACCAGAGAUGAAAUCCUAGGGCCUUCUCAGGUGUUCCCUGGGCACGUGCACAGCCCCAUGCAUGUGCAUGGCCUUCCAGAUUCCCAGGAAUAUAGGGAAGCCUUUCAGAGCCCCUCGUGGACAUCUCAUACCCCAGCUUUUCUUUUCAGCCUUUUUGGUUAGCCUUUGUUUUGCCCCACCUGUUAGCCACCUCCUCAGGCAGCAUGAUAUUCAACAAUUGCCAGUGAUUGUUUUCAGCAAAUAUCUCCCCACCCCCACCCCAAGAGACUGUUUGCAGUGGAGGCUAUGAGUCAGGCCAGAUAAAGACAGCCUUGCAGGUGGGAUCUGCCAGAGAACCACCAGGCAGGUCAUGUGACAACAGUUCUCUGGGAUAGGGGCUUUGAAGGAGGGCCCUCCAGCCCCAUUCUGCCCGCUCCAGUGGCUGCAAGGCUGCUGGUUUUCCCUGUGAUUUUGGGCUCUUGGUUUUCAAGGUUACUGCAUUGCCAGGGAAUAGGGAGUGGAAAUAGGGCAAAUUAAAACACCACAAAACCCACUGUUCUUACCAGAAUUUCACCGCUUUUCUUGUGUAAAUGCUUCCUGGAUUACUGCAAGCCUUUGGCUAAUAUCCAGAGUCCUGAAAAGAUUGCCUCAAAUGAUUUUUGCCCAUGUUCUCGUUGCUUUUAUGGAGGAGAGAAUUUUUCAAGAUCUGUACUCUGCCAUUUUCAUUGAUGUCACUUAAGACCAUCCAUUAUGGGUCCUCAGCGUCACAGCUUAAAUUUUGCUUUUUACAAUUGGAUAGAUCACUCUGAGUAUCCUUUGAUCCUCUGUUUAAGAAGUCAAGGAAUUGUGCCCUAAGUAUUAGACUCCCAACCAAUCAGUUACAAUAUUCACAAACAUUCAUUUUUCAAAUACAUGUUGAACAUCUGCUGUGAUCAGGACACAGUUCUGGCUGGGGACCCAGCAGUGCAGAAAGCCAAGGCACUGCUCUUCUGUUCUGGUGUGGCUGGGCUGGGUGCAGAGACACAUGGUACAGGGCCGUGUGUGUGAUGUGUUUCAGACAUGGCGAGGGGACUGAUGUUGCCAGAGUAGGGUGAGCAAAGGGAGAGAGGUGAAAGAUGAGGCGAAAUGGCACAAAUGUUGAAGGAAGUGCAGGAGUAAGGGGUGAGGACAUUCUUGAGGGCACAGUAGACUGGGCUUGAGUCACAGUUCAUUUGGCUUCACUCUUCACCAGCUGUGUGAUCUUGGGCAGCAAGUUACCUAACUUCUCUGGACCUUAAUUUUCAUAAAAAACAGGAUAAGAAAUUGCCUACCUUAUAGGAUUAUUUCAAGGAUUAAUUGAGAUGAUGCAUGUUGUCAUAGCUAGUCCUUCGCACAGAGCAAGUGCUUGUGAAAAGCUCAGAUUGUUGGGGGUUUCCUCAAGGAUCUGGAAAACCGAGCCAUUCAGAACUCAUUCUCUGAGGAUUUUGCAUAGAUUUUGACCUAUAUAAACAAAUACUUGAAUAUGAUUUGUAGUAACAUUGUGGUCUCGGACUCUCUCUGUUUUGCUUUUACAAUUUACAGAAGACUAUUCCAACAGAACAAAUCGAAGUUUACCUAAAAUGAAGAAGUUAGUUGCUUUGGAGCUGUAAUUAUUUUACUGGCAAAACAAAACCGUCUCUGGGUACAUAAACAUCUCUGAAAUGGUUUCACCGCUUGGUAUAUCAGAGUCUUGUGGUUGUGAGGGAGAAGGUGUGAAUCUAGAGGCAGAUUGAUGUGUCUUUAUAAUGUUCAAGCUUGGUAGGAGAAUGUUAAAGAUAUUCUAAGUUUUACAUAUUAAUCACCUUUCCUAGUGGAAGGGCAUCACUGGGCUUAUGUAACUUACGUUUGGUUGACAGGAAAGGGCUUCUUAGCCACCUUGUCAGGAGCUGGGAUUGCUAGAUCAUUUUCUUUAUCUUAAGUUAGAGCUGAGUAGCAUUUCCUGUAUGGUUGAAAAGGUUGAGAUCACAAAUGUCAUCCCUCCAAUUCCUGCAGUAAACUGACAAUCUGCCUUUUAAAUCUUCUGUUGGUGUUCAAAGUGCCGUACAAGCCACUGCGAGGUAAUAAGAGUAAAAUGCGCUCCGAGAGCCUGUCAGCAUGUGACAAUAGACUGAUCUGUAUGAAAACUGUGUCACUACCUAAUAACAGUAAACCAGCAAUAAACCAGGGCAAAAUAGUAUAAGCUACACAGGAGAAUGUGGAGGGCUCUGGAAGAAUUAGAGCAAGGUGGCAUGCAUUGGGGACGGUGGGAGGAGGCUGGCAUUGCCUGGGCCACCUCCUUCUCUAAAGGUGGCUGGAUUUCUGGACUUCUGAUCAGGCUGGUAUCCUUUCACGUUUGUAAGAGGUCGAGGGAUGGCAACAGCAAAACUUUUAAAAGUUUUUAAUUCCAGUAUUUAAUCAUCUUUGUUGAACUGAUAGACUGUCUGGUAUCUGAAAAGUAACAAGUGAGAGGACGAAGGCAAGAAUGAGUCUGAUGCUGGCGGUGCUGUCUGGGUUAGGAAGAAACAGGCAGAAAUAAAGCUGCCUAAGGUUUAGGAGUGUGUUGUGAAUCAGUGUUUCUCAAACCUGUGUGACAUAGGGACCUUUUUCAGUGGGAAAAUUGUGUGCACGUAUGUAUACACGUGUCUGUGUGUGUGUGUAUGUGUCUGUGUGUGUGUGUACUUCAACUACUAGCAUUGCCUGUAGGUUUUAUACUGUGUUACUCUUUCUCGGAGGAGGCCGUCUGGAGAGAAUCGCUUGAGUUGCUGGUUACAGAGCAGCUUUCCAGGCGCAGCCCCGGAACCAGCCUCCUGGCAGGCCAUGUUAACUGCAGUGAGUUGUGUAACCAGAUAAAAGCCAGUGAAGAUGAGAACUGGUCAGCAGUAAAUCCUGGGUGAGGACAGGAAAGAAGCUCCAUGAGAUGCCAUGAUGAAAAAACAAAGAACUUUUGGCCAGAGAUUAAACUGACAAACACUUUAAAGCUAAAACGAAAUGAUAUUUUUAAUAUCUUUCUGUCUCUGCAGUUGAUGUUUUCACAAAUGUCUGUUUAUGUGGUCUGGUUAUAAAUCUUUCUCAAGCCUCGGUUUUUUUUUUUUUUAAAGCCUCAGCUUUUGUUAGUUGCCAUGAACCAUAACUUGAGAUUUAUCAAACAAAUUUCAGUUAAAAAAAAAGUAGUUACAAAGUAUUUAUUAAUUGCUAUGGUGGUUUUAACAUUCACAAAGUUUUUGAUAAUCCUCGCUCCUGGAGGGAGAGCUUACUUUUCCUCUCUUUGACAGUGGCCAGACUCAGUGACUCAUUUCUAAUGAAUGGAGUGGAGAGUGGGAAAGAUAGUACCUUUAUAGUAGAAACACCUGGCAGACCCCACCUUUCCGGCUCCAGUGUUAGGUCAGGUGUGUAUCAUGUGCUCCCGGAUGCGAUGGGACGAGAAGUCUCUUCACCUCUGCGUGGUCCUCCCCUAAAGCCGUAACUCCAGCCUAGUCAGGAGCAGACGUCAGGGAGACCCGGGGUGAGGGACAUUCUACAGAAUACCUGGCCAGUGUUCUUCAGAAGUGCCACGGUUGUGGAAGACUGCAGAACUGUCACAGGCUGGAGGAGGAGGUCAAGGAGGCACGAGGACUGAAUGCAUGUGGGGUCCUGGAUUGAGAAAAGGGACAGUAGUGGAAAAACUGAUGACAUCUGGAUAAAGCCUGUGGUUUAGUUAA